rfam:Streptomyces lydicus strain 103, complete genome.
CUUCAACGAGCCCAGCCACAGCGGCUGUUGACCGGCGCGCUGCUGCCCGUAGGUGGCGAGCAGGGCCUGCGCCUC